rnacentral:rRNA from 1 species
CCGCCAGACUCCUACGGGAGGCAGCAGUGGGGGAUAUUGCACAAUGGGGGCAACCCUGAUGCAGCGACGCCGCGUGAGCGAUGGAGUACUUCGGUAUGUAAAGCUCUGUCAGCAGGGAAGAGAAUGACGGUACCUGACCAAGAAGCCCCGGCUAAAUACGUGCCAGCAGCCGCGGUAAUACGUAUGGGGCAAGCGUUAUCCGGAUUUACUGGGCGUAAAGCGCUCGUAGGCGGUAUGUCAAGUCAAGGGUGAAAUCCCCGCGCUCAACGUGGGAACUGCCUUUGAAACUGGCAAACUGGAGUGUGUGAGAGGAUAGUGGAAUUCCAGGUGUAGGAUUGAAAUCCGUAGAUAUCUGGAGGAACAUCAGUGGCGAAGGCGACGAUCUGGCACAUAACUGACGCUGAGGAGCGAAAGCGUGGGGAGCAAACAGGAUUAGAUACCCGCGUAUCA